AGAGUUUGAUCCUGGCUCAGGAUGAACGCUGGCGGUAUGCUUAACACAUGCAAGUCGAACGGAACCUUCGGGUUUAGUGGCGGACGGGUGAGUAACGCGUGGGAAUCUGCCUCUAGGUCGGGGACAACAACUGGAAACGGUUGCUAAUACCCGAUGUGCAGCAAUGUGAAAGAUUUAUUGCCUAGAGAUGAGCUCGCGUCUGAUUAGCUGGUAGGUGUGGUAAUGGCGCACCUAGGCGACGAUCAGUAACUGGUCUGAGAGGAUGACCAGUCACACUGGGACUGAGACACGGCCCAGACUCCUACGGGAGGCAGCAGUGGGGAAUUUUCCGCAAUGGGCGAAAGCCUGACGGAGCAAUACCGCGUGAGGGACGAAGGCUUUUGGGUCGUAAACCUCUUUUCCCUGAGAAGAAGAUCUGACGGUAUCAGGGGAAUCAGCAUCGGCUAACUUCGUGCCAGCAGCCGCGGUAAUACGAGGGAUGCAAGCGUUAUCCGGAAUUAUUGGGCGUAAAGCGUCCGCAGGUGGCUCUGUAAGUCUGUCGUUAAAGAAUGGGGCUCAACCCCAUACAGGCGAUGGAAACUACAAGGCUAGAGUUUGGUAGGGGUCACGGGAAUUCUUAGUGUAGCGGUGAAAUGCGUAGAUAUUAAGAAGAACACCAGCGGCGAAAGCGCGUGACUGGGCCAGUACUGACACUCAUGGACGAAAGCUAGGGGAGCGAAAGGGAUUAGAUACCCCUGUAGUCC
rnacentral:rRNA from 1 species